GUGGGGAAUAUUGGACAAUGGGCGCAAGCCUGAUCCAGCAAUGCCGCGUGCAGGAAGAAGGCCUUCGGGUUGUAAACUGCUUUUGUACGGAACGAAACGGUCCUGGCUAAUAUCCGGGGCUAAUGACGGUACCGUAAGAAUAAGCACCGGCUAACUACGUGCCAGCAGCCGCGGUAAUACGUAGGGUGCGAGCGUUAAUCGGAAUUACUGGGCGUAAAGCGUGCGCAGGCGGUGCUGUAAGACAGGCGUGAAAUCCCCGGGCUCAACCUGGGAAUUGCGCUUGUGACUGCAGUGCUGGAGUGCGGCAGAGGGGGAUGGAAUUCCGCGUGUAGCAGUGAAAUGCGUAGAUAUGCGGAGGAACACCGAUGGCGAAGGCAAUCCCCUGGGCCUGCACUGACGCUCAUGCACGAAAGCGUGGGGAGCAAACAGGAUUAGAAACCCUAGUAGUCC
rnacentral:rRNA from 1 species